AGUUUGAUAUGGCUCAGAACGAACGCUGGCGGCGUGCCUAACACAUGCAAGUCCGACGUGAAAGGGGAGCAAUCCCCCGGUAGGGUGGCAAACGGGUGAGUAAGACAUGGGUGAUCUGCCCUGGAGAUGGGGAUAUCCCUCCGAAAGGGGGGGCAAUACCGAAUAGUAUCCGGUUCCGUGAAGGGGGCCGGGGAAAGGGAGGCCUCUGGUACAAGCUUCCGCUCCUGGAUGAGCCCAUGGCCCAUCAGCUAGUUGGUAGGGUAAAGGCCUACCAAGGCGACGACGGGUAGCUGGUCUGAGAGGACAACCAGCCACACUGGCACUGAGACACGGGCCAGACUCCUACGGGAGGCAGCAGUGAGGAAUAUUGCGCAAUGGGGGCAACCCUGACGCAGCAACGCCGCGUGUGGGAAGAAGGCUUUCGGGUUGUAAACCACUUUUGCCCGGGACGAAAGGGGGGACCUGAAUAAGGUUGCCCGAUGACGGUACCGGGAGAAUAAGCCACGGCUAACUCUGUGCCAGCAGCCGCGGUAAGACAGAGGUGGCAAGCGUUGUUCGGAGUUACUGGGCGUAAAGAGUCUGUAGGUGGUCUGUCAAGUCUUUGGUGAAAGGCCGUGGCUUAACCAUGGGAAUGCCAAAGAGACUGGCAGACUGGAGGCUGGGAGAGGGAAGCGGAAUUUCUGGUGUAGCGGUGAAAUGCGUAGAUAUCAGAAGGAAGGCCGGUGGCGAAGGCGGCUUCCUGGAACAGACCUGACACUGAGAGACGAAAGCGUGGGGAGCAAACAGGAUUAGAUACCCUGGUAGUCCACGCCCUAAACGAUGGGUACUAAGUGUGGGAGGGUUAAACCUCCCGUGCCGCACCACGCAGUAGUACCCCGCCUGGGGAGUACGGCCGCAAGGUGAAACUCAAGAUGACGGGGGCCCGCACA
rnacentral:rRNA from 1 species